CGGGUGAGUAACGCGUGGGUAACCUACCCUGUACACACGGAUAACAUACCGAAAGGUAUGCUAAUACAGGAUAAUAUAUUUGAGAGGCAUCUCUUGAAUAUCAAAGGUGAGCCAGCACAGGAUGGACCCGCGUCUGAUUAGCUAGUUGGUAAGGUAACGGCUUACCAAGGCGACGAUCAGUAGCCGACCUGAGAGGGUGAUCGGCCACAUUGGAACUGAGACACGGUCCAA
rnacentral:rRNA from 1 species